AUUAAUGCAAGCGAUAAGGAGCUGCUCUGGGGUAUAAAUACAGUUGGACGAUGAUUAGAACCCUAUAUUCAGAAUAUCUGUCGUGAUGAAUUUCUUGGCUACCCUUUUUGCAGUGCUGGCUGUUCACUUAAUGGCGGCCUUCCCCGUUUUCGGGCAUGUUCCUUCCCAAUAUCCACGUGCAUCAACUGAUAAUGGCUCAAAAGGCGGUGGCUACGUAAUUUCAGAUUUUUCUGCUCAGCGAUAUGGUCAACGACCUACUGUUCAUGAAUAUGAAUAUGAUUCACCUCGUUACAAUUUCAGAAAAAACUAAUUGAAACAUGACAUGCCUUUAUUGUUUCAAGUGCAAUUAAAAUAACUAAUA